rnacentral:tRNA from 1 species
GAAUUAAAUAUUUUAAGCUUCUAACUUAAAUUUUAGCAUAUUUUUGUUAUUAAUUCU